CCUACGGGUGGCAGCAGUGGGGAAUAUUGGACAAUGGGCGAAAGCCUGAUCCAGCCAUGCCGCGUGUGUGAAGAAGGCCUUCGGGUUGUAAAGCACUUUCAGUGGGGAAGAAAGCCUUGGGGCUAAUACCCUCGAGGAAGGACAUCACCCACAGAAGAAGCACCGGCUAACUCCGUGCCAGCAGCCGCGGUAAUACGGAGGGUGCGAGCGUUAAUCGGAAUUACUGGGCGUAAAGCGCGCGUAGGCGGUCUGAUAAGCCGGUUGUGAAAGCCCCGGGCUCAACCUGGGAACGGCAUCCGGAACUGUCAGGCUAGAGUGCAGGAGAGGAAGGUAGAAUUCCAGGUGUAGCGGUGAAAUGCGUAGAGAUCGGGAGGAAUACCAGUGGCGAAGGCGGCCUUCUGGACUGACACUGACGCUGAGGUGCGAAAGCGUGGGUAGCAAACAGGAUUAGAUACCCGGUAGUC
rnacentral:rRNA from 1 species